rnacentral:tRNA from 1 species
GGGGCAGUCGUUCAACGGAUAGGACAUAUCCCCUCUAAGGAUACAAUGCUGGUUCGAUUCCAACCUGCCCUGCCA